rnacentral:sRNA from 1 species
CAGGAAUGUCUGUCUGUCGCAGUCUCUAUCUCUUGUUGACACAAAUCAAAGCAGCUGCGUAAAUCUUCAUCAAACAAUGUUGUCGUGGCGCCUCCUUUCAUUCCCCCCCUAGUAGUGGAUCUGGCUCAAGCUCUGUCCGUAUCUCCAUCUCCAUCUCUGAGUCGUCGUUGGCGGUGUCGGCAAAAACGAAUGAAAAAUACGCCAACUCACGGUCAAUUGCAAUUCAAUUAGACGCAAUUAGUGCCGAGGCACGCAUCGGGGGAUAUUCAUGCGAGAAUUACAUAGUUAGAAGAGCUGUCGGAAGAAGAGGAUUGGAUGCAGGAUGCAGGAUAGGGGGCGAGGCGAGGCGAUGGCGAUGAUGAAGAUACAUCCACAUAUACGCAGGCGGCGGCGUCGGAGGCGGCAGAAAAAGUAUCUCAUUAGACGUGCAGCUACAUGGCAACGGCCGCUUAACUCAUUCAUCAUCAUCAGACAAGGGGCGGGAACGGUAUCGGAAUCGGGUUCAGUAUCGCUCUCGGUCUCGGAUCUGUUGAGCUGGCCAUGCCAUAGACACAGACACAGAAACAGAUACAGAUACAGCUGCAGAUACAGUAGGUUGCAGGCAGGCUGUCCUGCAGCAACAUGCGACUGCAGCUUAAUUGCAAAAUGACCCAAUGAGUUCUUGUUGCUGGCACCACGAGUAGUAGCCCCGACUAAGCUGCAGCUCUUGCCUCGGGUAGUGGGACUGGGAGUCCUUCUCGUUCGUGUUUAAUUAGUCUGAGCGCUGAUUCUGUAAGAUACACCGAAUACAUAUACACAUGACGAGGCACAUAAUUGGGCCAUCUCAUGUUCCCAAGGAAGCUCAAUCCCCGUGUUCGCUCGCUCGCUC